rnacentral:lncRNA from 1 species
AUGGAUGCGAGGGGCCCAGUUGUCAGUCUGCUCGUCAGACCCGACAGCGGACGCCUCUGUUCCUCCCGCGGCCGCGGCCCCGCCGUCUUUUUGUUCCCUGGCCUCGCCAACAUCUGUGAAAAGUCCCGGCCGAGGUGCGGCGGGCGGCCCCGUCAACCACCAGGCCCACGCCUCCCGCCCCCGUGUGCAGCCCCCUCUGCACAGGCCUGGGGGGCAGCGGGGAACGCCCCAGUCCGGGCUGGCCACCCCCCGGGGGUGAGGCCACAUGCCCUGGACCGGGCCCGGGUCAUGUGCCCAGAAGCCCCCAGCGAUGAGGAGGGCAGAGGGACAGAAGUCAGAAGAACAGGGCACGUCCCACAAAGGGCCGGCCCCCGGGACGGUGGGGGCGAGGGCAGCGACAUUCCUCGGACGGCGGUGGGAACUCCCAAAUACGGCCCCGCUACUGCUGUUUUUAGCCCAUUCCACAUAAUUGGAAAAACAUGGGGCAAACCAAAGCCAGCUGGGCACCUCCGCCUGCGCGGCCACGAGGAGGGAGGGGGCAGGGAGGCCGGCGCUGGACGGCCGGGCUCUGGGACGGCGGCCUGCUCGGCCCCCCUGGGGCUCACCCAGCCCCCAGCAGAGCCAGGGCUCAGGAGGGGUCAGUGGCCGAGACAGCCCUCCAGUCUCAGAACCUACAGGACCCUCGCUGGGGCCACUUUAGGAGGGGCUGGGGCACCAGGCACACGGCACCCUGGAGCCAGCAGGUAUCACCCCACCCCCAGGGCCGUGGGACACGAGACGCCCCUCAGCCCAAAGGCAGGGAGUCAGUCCCAACUCUCCCAUCCUGUCUGUGUGCCCCACCCCCAGAAGGUGUCAAGGACACACAGCCUCUACUUUGUCCCCCCCCCCCGCCCCUGUCCCCAAGAGGGAAGUGCGCCAAUCUCCCUACUUCACCGGCAAGGGAACUGCAGCUCGGAAGGCUCCCGUGACACCCCCACUUUGCUGGCGCCUGGCAGCACUCGGAUCCAGCCCCCCCACUCCAUCCUCCACUCCUGGGGACCCUGCACCUCCCCGGGACGUCGCAGGCCCCCAGUUGCGAGGUCCGAGCAUCACCCCAUCUCAGCUCCUUCCUUGGGGAAGGCACUGACCCCUACACAGGGCUGA